rnacentral:rRNA from 1 species
UACGGAGGAUCCAAGCGUUAUCCGGAUUUAUUGGGCUUAAAGGGUGCGUAGGCGGCUUUAUAAGUCAGGGGUGAAAGACGGCAGCUUAACUGUCGCAGUGCCUUUGAUACUGUAGAGCUUGAAUUUGAUUGAAGAUGGCGGAAUGAGACAAGUAGCGGUGAAAUGCGUAGAUAUGUCUCGGAACUCCGAUUGCGGAGGCAGCUGUCUAAGCGGCAAUUGACGCUGAUGCACGAAAGCGUGGGGAUCAAACAGG